UGUCCAAUCAACGGAGAACAGGAAAGC
rnacentral:piRNA from 1 species